ACAGAGGAGCUGGGAUCACUGAAUUCUUUUGAUGCCUAGAUGUAGUUUGUGACUAGAACUCUAGCACCAUUGGAAUUCAGUUUACCCUGGCUGGCGCAAUU
rnacentral:pre_miRNA from 1 species